rnacentral:rRNA from 1 species
UACGAAGGGGGCUAGCGUUGCUCGGAAUGACUGGGCGUAAAGGGCGCGUAGGCGGCUUGUAUAGUCGGAUGUGAAAUUCCUGGGCUUAACCUGGGGGCUGCAUACGAGACGUAUGGGCUUGAGUGCGGAAGAGGGUCGUGGAAUUCCCAGUGUAGAGGUGAAAUUCGUAGAUAUUGGGAAGAACACCGGAUGGCGAAGGCGAGCCCC